CAGCAGAUAAAGCGGUCACUCAGCUACUUGCUCGGGGCUCCUCACCCGCCCCCGCGAAGAGGAUAAAACCUGAGGGUUGACCUCAACCUCCUUGCUCAAAAUGCCUGGUGACCAAAAAAAAAAAAUGCUUUUACUGAACUGAAGUUUCCUGCCUGUAUUCUGGUUCACCGAAAGUUCUGGAGCACACCCACUGCGUGCAGGGUUGGAGUCAGAAGCUGCACAUGAGAAAGGAGGCGAAAAAAACCCACAAGUGCAUUUUUUCCGUCUUUUUCUCGCCUGCUCCUGAAAUGCUUGCGGCUGGAUUAGCACAGCCUGUAAUGGAAUCACAAUCCCUUCCUGGGAGAGGGAGAGAGAGAAUCUGUUUCCUGUCCCUGACAUCACUCACCAUGCUGACUCCGAAAUGCUGAGAUGAAAAUGAAGGAAAAUAGCAGUGAUGACGAUGCUGGUGAUGACGAUGCUGGUGAUGACAGUGACGAUGCUGACGAUGACAUCUGUCCAGCGGUUACCACGGGCCUGGGCCUGUGCUUCAUCCCUGACUUCACAGCCCUUGCACAAUCGUCUAUGUCAACCUACGACAUGAAGGUAAACUACUCACUUUAGGGGACGGUAGAGAGAGAAGCCCCCGGCAGAGACACCACAGCAGAAGGGCUGGUGCGGGGACUCUCCCGUCUAGAAGUCCGUCCCUCCCAUCAACAUCGAAAUUGUCUCUCUUGAUUGUAAACGUCCGAAAGUUGGGACGUGGGGGAAGCCACAGGCAAAGAGCUGGCCAUGAAGGGU